rnacentral:rRNA from 1 species
GACAGAGGGUGCAGACGUUGUUCGGAAUUACUGGGCGUAAAGCGUGUGUAGGCGGCCACGUAAGUCGGAUGUGAAAGCCCCAGGCUCAACCUGGGAAGUGCACUCGAUACUGCGUGGCUUGAGUAUCGGAGAGGUUGGUGGAAUUCUCGGUGUAGAGGUGAAAUUCGUAGAUAUCGAGAGGAACACCGGUGGCGAAGGCGGCCAACUGGACGAAUACUGACGCUGAGACGCGAAAGCGUGGGGAGCAAACAGG